UACGGGGGGGGCAAGCGUUGUUCGGAAUUACUGGGCGUAAAGGGCGCGUAGGCGGCCUGUUAAGUCGAACGUGAAAUCCCCGGGCUCAACCCGGGAACUGCGUCCGAUACUGGCAGGCUUGAAUCCGGGAGAGGGAUGUGGAAUUCCAGGUGUAGCGGUGAAAUGCGUAGAUAUCGUGAGGAACACCAGAGGCGAAGGCGGUUACCUGGACAGUUACUGACGCUCAGGCACGAAAGCAUGGGGAGCAAAAGGG
rnacentral:rRNA from 1 species